GAUGAACGCUGGCGGCGUGCCUAAUACAUGCAAGUCGAGCGAACAGACGAGGAGCUUGCUCCUCUGACGUUAGCGGCGGACGGGUGAGUAACACGUGGAUAACCUACCUAUAAGACUGGGAUAACUUCGGGAAACCGGAGCUAAUACCGGAUAAUAUAUUGAACCGCAUGGUUCAAUAGUGAAAGACGGUUUUGCUGUCACUUAUAGAUGGAUCCGCGCCGCAUUAGCUAGUUGGUAAGGUAACGGCUUACCAAGGCAACGAUGCGUAGCCGACCUGAGAGGCUGAUCGGCCACACUGGAAGUGAGACACGCUCCAGACUCCUAGGAGAGGCAGCAGUAGGGAAUCUGCCGCAAUGGGCGAAAGCCUGACGGAAUAACGCCGCGUGAGUGAGAAAGAUCUUCGGAUCGUAAAACUCUGUUAUUAGGGAAGAACAAAUGUGUAAGUAACUAUGCACGUCUUGACGGUACCUGAUCAGAAAGCCACGGCUAACUACGUG
rnacentral:rRNA from 1 species